rnacentral:rRNA from 1 species
UAAUACGGGGGGAGCAAGCGUUGUUCGGAAUUACUGGGCGUAAAGGGCUCGUAGGCGGCCAACUAAGUCAGACGUGAAAUCCCUCGGCUUAACCGGGGAACUGCAUCUGAUACUGGAUGGCUUGAGAUUGGGAGAGGGAUGCGGAAUUCCAGGUGUAGCGGUGAAAUGCGUAGAUAUCUGGAGGAACACCGGUGGCGAAGGCGGCAUCCUGGACCAACACUGACGCUGAGGAGCGAAAGCCAGGGGAGCAAACGGGAUUAGAUACCCCGGUAGUCCUGGCCCUAAACGAUGAAUGCUUGGUGUGGCGGGUAUCGAUCCCUGCCGUGCCGAAGCUAACGCAUUAAGCAUUCCGCCUGGGGAGUACGGUCGCAAGGCUG